UACAGGGGGGGCAAGCGUUGUUCGGAAUUACUGGGCGUAAAGGGCUCGUAGGUGGCCAACUAAGUCAGACGUGAAAUCCCUCAGCUUAACUGGGGAACUGCGUCUGAUACUGGAUGGCUUGAGUUUGGGAGAGGGAUGCGGAAUUCCAGGUGUAGCGGUGAGAUGCGUAGAUAUCUGGAGGAACACCGGUGGCGAAGGCGGCAUCCUGGACCAACACUGACACUGAGGAGCGAAAGCCAGGGGAGCAAACGGG
rnacentral:rRNA from 1 species